UACAGAGGUCUCAAGCGUUGUUCGGAUUCAUUGGGCGUAAAGGGUGCGUAGGUGGCGCUGUAAGUCGGGUGUGAAAUUUCGGAGCUUAACUCCGAAACUGCAUUCGAUACUGCGGUGCUUGAGGACUGGAGAGGAGACUGGAAUUCAUGGUGUAGCAGUGAAAUGCGUAGAGAUCCGGAGGAACACCAGCGGCGAAGGCGGCAUCCUGGACUGGUCCUGACACUCAUGAGCGAAAGCGUGGGGAGCAAACAGG
rnacentral:rRNA from 1 species